rnacentral:rRNA from 1 species
GAUGAACGCUGGCGGCGUGCCUAAUACAUGCAAGUCGAGCGAACGGACGAGAAGCUUGCUUCUCUGAUGUUAGCGGCGGACGGGUGAGUAGCACGUGGAUAACCUACCUAUAAGACUGGGAUAACUUCGGGAAACCGGAGCUAAUACCGGAUAAUAUUUUGAACCGCAUGGUUCAAAAGUGAAAGACGGUCUUGCUGUCACUUAUAGAUGGAUCCGCGCUGCAUUAGCUAGUUGGUAAGGUAACGGCUUACCAAGGCAACGAUGCAUAGCCGACCUGAGAGGGUGAUCGGCCACACUGGAACUGAGACACGGUCCAGACUCCUACGGGAGGCAGCAGUAGGGAAUCUUCCGCAAUGGGCGAAAGCCUGACGGAGCAACGCCGCGUGAGUGAUGAAGGUCUUCGGAUCGUAAAACUCUGUUAUUAGGGAAGAACAUAUGUGUAAGUAACUGUGCACAUCUUGACGGUACCUAAUCAGAAAGCCACGGCUAACUACGUGCCAGCAGCCGCGGUAAUACGUAGGUGGCAAGCGUUAUCCGGAAUUAUUGGGCGUAAAGCGCGCGUAGGCGGUUUUUUAAGUCUGAUGUGAAAGCCCACGGCUCAACCGUGGAGGGUCAUUGGAAACUGGAAAACUUGAGUGCAGAAGAGGAAAGUGGAAUUCCAUGUGUAGCGGUGAAAUGCGCAGAGAUAUGGAGGAACACCAGUGGCGAAGGCGACUUUCUGGUCUGUAACUGACGCUGAUGUGCGGAAGCGUGGGGAUCAAACAGGAUUAGAUACCCUGGUAGUCCACGCCGUAAACGAUGAGUGCUAAGUGUUAGGGGGUUUCCGCCCCUUAGUGCUGCAGCUAACGCAUUAAGCACUCCGCCUGGGGAGUACGACCGCAAGGUUGAAACUCAAAGGAAUUGACGGGGACCCGCACAAGCGGUGGAGCAUGUGGUUUAAUUCGAAGCGACGCGAAGAACCUUACCAAAUCUUGACAUCCUUUGACAACUCUAGAGAUAGAGCCUUCCCCUUCGGGGGACAAAGUGACAGGUGGUGCAUGGUUGUCGUCAGCUCGUGUCGUGAGAUGUUGGGUUAAGUCCCGCAACGAGCGCAACCCUUAAGCUUAGUUGCCAUCAUUAAGUUGGGCACUCUAAGUUGACUGCCGGUGACAAACCGGAGGAAGGUGGGGAUGACGUCAAAUCAUCAUGCCCCUUAUGAUUUGGGCUACACACGUGCUACAAUGGACAAUACAAAGGGCAGCGAAACCGCGAGGUCAAGCAAAUCCCAUAAAGUUGUUCUCAGUUCGGAUUGUAGUCUGCAACUCGACUACAUGAAGCUGGAAUCGCUAGUAAUCGUAGAUCAGCAUGCUACGGUGAAUACGUUCCCGGGUCU